rnacentral:rRNA from 1 species
UACGGAGGGGACUAGCGUUGUUCGGAAUUACUGGGCGUAAAAGCGCGCGUAGGCGGAUUUGUAAGUCGGGGGUGAAAUCCCGGGGCUCAACCUCGGAACUGCCUUCGAUACUGUAAAAUCUCGAGUCCGGAAGAGGUGAGUGGAAUUCCUAGUGUAGAAGGUGAAAUUCGUAGAUAUUAGGAAGAACACCAGUGGCGAAGGCGGCUCACUGGUCCGGUACUGACGCUGAGGCGCGAAAAGGCGUGGGGAGCAAACAGG